rnacentral:piRNA from 1 species
UAAGUGUAGGAGGAGUUGAUAGA